rnacentral:rRNA from 1 species
CAGUCGCCGCGGUAAAACUUAGGUGGCAAGCGUUGUCCGGAAUUAUUGGGCGUAAAGGGCUCGCAGGCGGUUUCUUAAGUCUGAUGUGAAAGCCCCCGGCUCAACCGGGGAGGGUCAUUGGAAACUGGGAGACUUGAGUGCAGAAGAGGAGAGUGGAAUUCCACGUGUAGCGGUGAAAUGCGUAGAGAUGUGGAGGAACACCAGUGGCGAAGGCGACUCUCUGGUCUGUAACUGACGCUGAGGAGCGAAAGCGUGGGGAGCGAGCAGGAUUAGAGACCCCUGUAGUCCCUGUCUCUUAUAC